GAGGAAGGUCCCCCACAUUGGAACUGAGACACGGUCCAAACUCCUACGGGAGGCAGCAGUGAGGAAUAUUGGUCAAUGGGCGAGAGCCUGAACCAGCCAAGUAGCGUGAAGGAUGACUGCCCUAUGGGUUGUAAACUUCUUUUAUACGGGAAUAACAAGCGGCACGUGUGCCGUUCUGCAUGUACCGUAUGAAUAAGCAUCGGCUAACUCCGUGCCAGCAGCCGCGGUAAUACGGAGGAUGCGAGCGUUAUCCGGAUUUAUUGGGUUUAAAGGGAGCGCAGACGGGUCCUUAAGUCAGUUGUGAAAGUUUGGGGCUCAACCGUAAAAUUGCAGUUGAUACUGGAGACCUGGAGUGCGGUAUAGGCAGGCGGAAUUCGGGGGGUAGGGGUGAAAUGCUUAGAUAUCACGAAGAACUCCGAUUG
rnacentral:rRNA from 1 species